UGCCUUCAAAGCCCUAAACAAGGAUAACCCCCUUAAUUUCU
rnacentral:tRNA from 1 species